ensembl:lncRNA
CUCCCCUGCGAGAGCGCUCCGCGCGCCGGCUGCCAGCCCACCUGGGCGAACCCUUCACCUGGGCGCCGCGCGUGGCGUGGCGAGGCCGGGCCCCGCCUCCCGGUCUCUCUGGUGUGGGGGAGGGCGGGGCCAACGAGCUGGGAACUUGCGGCGGGUCUCUCCGCCCGCCCCCCCCCCCGCCCGCCUUCCCAGGCUCCUGCCUUAACCUGUUGGCGGCCCCUGAGGGGAGAGAGCGGCGCGCGCGCGCGCUGAGGUAACCCGGCAGCGCGCUUGGAGAACUUCCUCGAGCGAAGUUGCGCGCAGCCCGUGAGGGAGCUCGGCCGAACGGGGCUCCUGCUCGCCUCUCCUUUGCUCCACGGGAUAAAGAGGUGUGUCUGGGCGAGAGAGAGAGAGAGAGCCUUGCAACAUGGCCUCCUCCUCCUCCUCUCCCUCCGCCUCCGCCGCCUUUUCUCCAGGCGGGGAUGCCCGAGAACUGGACCAGGUUUAUCACAGGCAUCAUCCUCCUCAAAGCUCUCGAAAGGUAAGUGAAUGUGGCAUUGGCCACCCCUGACUUCACUUAAUCGCUUUCUUAUUGCUGAUGCCCAGUUAUGGAAUAAAAACAAUAAGUCACUAGGGGAAACUUGACAUGCAGGUAUUGUGGAUACACCUGGAGUAUAUAUAUUCUGAGGAAGAUGGUAAGUGCCUGUUUUCCGUCUUGGCCUUACUUAGCCCAUGACCUCUUCUGAGGGUCUGAAUUUGUUGUUGACACCUAUCAACGCCCUCCUGGUAAUGAGCUCUGUUUCUCUCUGCUGAAAGGGAGGUAAAAAUGAGAACCGCUUUGCUAGAUGGCUAGCUAUUGAUUUUUCUACAGAUCCUUCCCAGAUUGCAAGGUUUCACUGGCCAGGAACCCACUGAUAGGUGUCAGCAUUUUGCUUCAAAUUUCAGUAAUUUAUUAUAGAAACAAGUUCGAAAAGUCCUAAGCAAAGUCUUAUUAAGAAAGUAUUUUGAAACUAGGAGUGGGGGGUGCUAUGCAAGAAGAGCUCAAAACUAGGCCUUGGUCAAAAUGAAAUAAUUUUCAGUUUAAUGAUUGGACGUGGCCAGCAUUGCUGUUAAAUACAAAAGAAAGUGAAUUGUGGUACUUUCCUCUUUUUCUGACUACAUGGCUCAGUGAAGUUUAACAAAGUGGGUUUUUUUAAGCUUUAUGUUAAAAAUUGCAUCAUAGAAACUGAUUGUUUUCUGUAUUUAUCCAGUACAUAAAUAUGAAUUAAACACUCUGACUUUAUAAUACUGCUACCCCUAAGUAAUUAUAAGCACCAGUAUCUAUACAUUCUAUGUUUCCUCUUUAUAAUAACAUCACACACCUAAUGUACUAUGUGUGAACGUUUACCAUUUUAUUCAUCUUGGAGACAUCAUUAACGUAUACAGUAUGUUUGAUACCUAUUUAAAUUUAUCCAUAUAGGCUGUUCAACUAUCUGAAUUUGGUCUUGCAUGCGCUGUUAAUGCAUUUUCCUCCAGCGAUUUGACGGCAUCUUUUCUUUACUUCUCUUCUCAGCGGUAGUUAGAAUGUUUUCCCUGAAACCAAAAUUAGCAUUAAGAUUCAUGUAAAUCUCAGUGGUUUCACCAGAACUUUAAAAGUAACUUUAGAAUGGUUUCAUGUAUGCCAGGAUUUAUAUUAAUUUCACUUCCAAGGCAAAAGCUAGUGAACAGUCUUCAGAAGUGAACUUGACCUGAAGCAGAUACAUAAUAAGCAUUUAACAGCGAAGCUAACAUCAGCCUUAAAAUUCAUGUCAAUCUAAAAUAGUGUUUGGAGUAGCCCUUCAGGUUUCUCAGAUUGGGGAACUUGACCCUGACGGUCGUGGAUGAUGAUGAUGAUGAACUGUGCAAAAUGAGGGAAUAAUACAAUUUAAUCUGUCUUGAGUGGAAGUCUUGCAGCCUUGUAGUUUGAGAGUAGUAAGAUCUGUGCUUCUAAACCGCGGCUAAAAAGUGAAGAGCUGAUUUAUAAAGUAGUAUUUCUGACUAUAUCUUAUGAAACAAAUACUGUUUUUUUGGUUCUUGCAGUAUAAAGUCACCCAAGGGGUUGUAUUGUCAGAAACAUUGUGCUAGUUAACGCAUCACAGCACAUUUUCUGAUGAUGCAGUUCUUGGCUUGGAGAGAGCCAAGCUGUCUUGUCUGACCACAAUGAAA